AGAAAAUAGAUACCCGGGUAGUCCACGCCGUAGACGAUGAAUACUAGGUGUAGGGGUUGUCAUGACCUCUGUGCCGCCGCUAAACGCAUUAAGUAUUCCGCCUGGGGAGUACGGUCGCAAGAUCAAAACUCAAAGGAAUUGACGGGGGCCCGCACAAGCAGCGGAGCAUGUAGUUUAAUUCGAAGCAAUGCGAAGAACCUUACCUAGACUUGACAUCUCCUGAAUUACUCUGUAAUGGAGGAAGCCACUUCGGUGGCAGGAAGACAGGUGGUGCAUGGUUGUCGUCAGCUCGUGUCGUGAGAUGUUGGGUUAAGUCCCGCAACGAGCGCAACCCUUACUGUUAGUUGCUACCAUUUAGUUGAGCACUCUAGCGAGACUGCCCGGGUUAACCGGGAGGAAGGUGGGGAUGACGUCAAAUCAUCAUGCCCCUUAUGUCUAGGGCUACGCACGUGCUACAAUGGUCGGUACAAUGAGAUGCAACCUCGCGAGAGUGAGCAAAACUAUAAAACCGAUCUCAGUUCGGAUUGUA
rnacentral:rRNA from 1 species